GGCACAAACUUGAAGUAGAAUAGUUGGUUAUGGUCAGCUGAUCCUACUGAUCUACUCUGUUUCAAGUUUGUGCUC
rnacentral:pre_miRNA from 1 species